rnacentral:rRNA from 1 species
GACGUAGGGCGCGAGCGUUGUCCGGAAUUAUUGGGCGUAAAGAGCUCGUAGGCGGCUUGUUGCGUCGACUGUGAAAACCUGUGGCUCAACCAUGUGGUCUGCAGUCGAUACGGGCAGGCUGGAAUUCGGUAGGGGAGACUGGAAUUCCUGGUGUAGCGGUGAAAUGCGUAGAUAUCGGAAGGAACAUCAGUGGCGAAAGCGACUUCCUGGACCAAUACUGACGCUCAUGUGCGAAAGCGUGGGGAGCAAACAGG